UACACGCCGGCAGCGCGCACAGCAGUCGGGGCAGCUCAUGAAAGCGGCACCUUGAAGGAUACGCCUGCAGCGCGCGCCCCAGUCCACAAUGCAUAUCAAGUGCUGAAUUAGAAAAAAUAAAGUGAAUUGCAACACGAGGAGUUCGCAUUGGCUGAAAAGCUGACUGAAUACGCAGGAGCGUCUGGAGGAAGCAGGCAUCACAGCACAACGCCUAUGAUGUGUUAUAUCGAAUGCGAAAUCAAAGGCGCGUCAUCUCAUUGUGCCGCCCUGCGUUGCGAGGCAUCAGGCGAGUCGGUUGAUGACUGUAAGAGGGAGAGCUUUUAACACCGGAGUGUGCAAACUACGGCUCAUGGGACAGUCUGCCACAUACAUGGAUUGUUUGCUGAAGAAGAACCAUCUCUGGAUUAACCAUUUCUUCAAAAGGGCUGACUAAAAUGCUGAGCACGGCAACACUUCCAUAAAGGGACAUGGAUGUCAUGUCCUCUCCAUUGUUUAAAAGAAAACUAUCUGCAGAAAUAACCUGAAAGCAUUUUUUGCGCCAAAUGCUGAAAACUGAAAUAUGCGUACAGUUUUUAACAGUACAUUAUCUAAUUAGCCUCUUCACCUAAAUGAUUAUGGUUGUAGCCAUUAAGGUAGUACUACAAAUCUUUGUAAUUUUUUUUGUUAUUUAUUAUGUUCCGUCAAGGCACAUCUGAAAGCAGAGCCUAAGUACAAGCUGAGGUCAAAGCACACCAGGAGAAAUAAAGCUAUCCAAAGCCAAAAAAAAAAACAUCAAUAAACUUUAAGUUGGAAAACUAAUAUUGGUCAAAUCCCAUAUUUAUUCCAAAAAGUUUGUUUUAUUUAUUAGGUGUUUAAGUUCAAAAUCAACAUUAUUUUGUUCCAUUUUCUAUACAGUUUAAAAUGUGACAUGCUCCAUAUUUUCCUCACAAAGACACCCCAAAAAUGCACCUUGAUGUCCUUUACUGAGUUAUCUGAACAGUAUAACUCACUACACAGAAAGCUUCCCCAUUACUUAGCACCCACCUUUUUCUGUUUCUUUGAUAGAUGAGGGUGAAGAUAGGAAGACUUCAAGCGCUUUAGAACUUUGAGUAUUGUUUCUAUUUCUAACAUAUCUAUACGAAUGUCAUCAUAUUUGGCAAAGUAAGCAUUGUACUACCUGGGCAACCUCAACUUGUGUUUCAUGACUCAAUUCAAUGUCUACUUGCAACAAGAAAUGAGUCUGGUGAUUUAUGUGUUUUUUUAAACUGGAGAUCUUUAUUUAAGCAGAGACUGACAGAUGCAGAAGUAACACAGGAAAGCACUUCCAGGCAGCACUAUAUACCUUUCUUCCUGUGUCAAUGGGACACAUUUGAUGAACUGAAGCUGUAAGUUUGACCACAAAUUCAACUUUGCAUCAAUUGUUUCACUCACUGUUAUUGCCUAUUGAGUAUUUUCCUUUAUGCUCAUUAUUUUACCAUUUCUUUCUCAUUUUUAAGUAUUCUGUUUUAUUCUGUUUCUUGUUUUUUCCAUCUUUAUGUGAAGCCCAAGGAUGUGAGUCUUUAUGUAUAAGCAUCUAGAAGGCCCCAAGCCAACCUCUGGAGCAAUGAGUUUCUCUGUGUCUGUGGCUCCCCUUUUUUAUUUUCUUUUGGAUUUAUUUAGUUAAAGGAUAAGUUUUGCAUUUUUCUAGUCAAAGUUAU